rnacentral:rRNA from 1 species
CAGCCGCCACGGUAAUACGGAGGGUGCAAGCGUUAAUCGGAAUUACUGGGCGUAAAGCGCACGCAGGCGGUCUGUCAAGUCAGAUGUGAAAUCCCCGGGCUUAACCUGGGAACUGCAUUUGAAACUGGCAGGCUAGAGUCUUGUAGAGGGGGGUAGAAUUCCAGGUGUAGCGGUGAAAUGCGUAGAGAUCUGGAGGAAUACCGGUGGCGAAGGCGGCCCCCUGGACAAAGACUGACGCUCAGGUGCGAAAGCGUGGGGAGCAAACAGGAUUAGAUACCCCCGAGUCCCUGUCUCUUAUACA